rnacentral:rRNA from 1 species
ACCUGCCCUUGACUCUGGGAUAACCUCCGGAAACGGAAGCUAAUACCGGAUAUGACGUACGGAGGCAUCUCCUGUACGUGGAAAGAACUUCGGUCAAGGAUGGACUCGCGGCCUAUCAGGUAGUUGGUGAGGUAACGGCUCACCAAGCCUACGACGGGUAGCCGGCCUGAGAGGGUGACCGGCCACACUGGGACUGAGACACGGCCCAGACUCCUACGGGAGGCAGCAGUGGGGAAUAUUGCACAAUGGGCGCAAGCCUGAUGCAGCAACGCCGCGUGAGGGAUGACGGCCUUCGGGUUGUAAACCUCUUUUAGUAGGGAAGAAGCGAAAGUGACGGUACCUGCAGAAAAAGCACCGGCUAACUACGUGCCAGCAGCCGCGGUAAUACGUAGGGUGCGAGCGUUGUCCGGAAUUAUUGGGCGUAAAGAGCUCGUAGGCGGUCUGUCGCGUCUGCUGUGAAAACCCGAGGCUCAACCUCGGGCCUGCAGUGGGUACGGGCAGACUAGAGUGCGGUAGGGGAGAAUGGAAUUCCUGGUGUAGCGGUGGAAUGCGCAGAUAUCAGGAGGAACACCGAUGGCGAAGGCAGUUCUCUGGGCCGUAACUGACGCUGAGGAGCGAAAGCGUGGGGAGCGAACAGGAUUAGAUACCCUGGUAGUCCACGCCGUAAACGUUGGGCGCUAGAUGUGGGGACCAUUCCACGGUUUCCGUGUCGCAGCCUAACGCAUUAAGCGCCCCGCCCUGGGGGAGUACGGCCGCAAGGCUAAAACUCAAAAGGAAAUUUGAACG